GAUGAAUGCUGGCGGCGUGCCUAAUACAUGCAAGUCGAGCGGCAGCGCGUCUAGUUUACUAGAUGGCGGCGAGCGGCGGACGGCUGAGUAACGCGUAGGAAUGUGCCCCAAAGUGAGGAAUAACUGCCCGAAAGGGUAGCUAAUGCCGCAUAUGGUCUUCGGAUUAAAGGAUUUAUCCGCUUUGGGAGCAGCCUGCGUACGAUUAGAUAGUUGGUGAGGUAAUGGCUCACCAAGUCGACGAUCGUUAGCUGGUCUGAGAGGAUGAUCAGCCAGACUGGAACUGAGACACGGUCCAGACUCCUACGGGAGGCAGCAGUAAGGAAUCUUCCACAAUGGGCGAAAGCCUGAUGGAGCAACGCCGCGUGCAGGAUGAAGGCCUUCGGGUUGUAAACUGCUUUUAUGAGUGAAGAAUAUGACGGUAACUCAUGAAUAAGCACCGGCUAACUACGUGCCAG
rnacentral:rRNA from 1 species